AUGUGCAUACCAAAGGAAAAACAAGGUACGGGAUUUCGUGAUAUUGCUAGUUCCAACCAAGCACUACUUGCUAAGAAACGCUGGAGACUUAUUGAAUAUAAUCAGUCCUUGUGUGCGGGGAUCUUGAGGCCCAAAUAUUUCCCUGAUGGGAAUAUUUUGUCAGUUGAACUGAAGAAAGGCUCAACUUAUGUCUGGCAAAGCAUAUGGUCAGGAACCCAAACAUUCAAGAAGGGAUGCAUUUGGAGAGUGGAUAAUGGGGCCAACAUCCACAUUUGGGAUGACCCAUCGAUCCCCUCCAGCAGUUCCACGGAAAAUAAUAACUGGAAGAGGUGCUAG
rnacentral:rRNA from 1 species